rnacentral:rRNA from 1 species
UAUGUGUGUUAGUGGAAGCGUCUGGAAAGGCGCGCGAUACAGGGUGACAGCCCCGUACACAAAAAUGCACAUGCUGUGAGCUCGAUGAGUAGGGCGGGACACGUGGUAUCCUGUCUGAAUAUGGGGGGACCAUCCUCCAAGGCUAAAUACUCCUGACUGACCGAUAGUGAACCAGUACCGUGAGGGAAAGGCGAAAAGAACCCCGGCGAGGGGAGUGAAAAAGAACCUGAAACCGUGUACGUACAAGCAGUGGGAGCACGCUUAGGCGUGUGACUGCGUACCUUUUGUAUAAUGGGUCAGCGACUUAUAUUCUGUAGCAAGGUUAACCGAAUAGGGGAGCCGAAGGGAAACCGAGUCUUAACUGGGCGUUAAGUUGCAGGGUAUAGACCCGAAACCCGGUGAUCUAGCCAUGGGCAGGUUGAAGGUUGGGUAACACUAACUGGAGGACCGAACCGACUAAUGUUGAAAAAUUAGCGGAUGACUUGUGGCUGGGGGUGAAAGGCCAAUCAAACCGGGAGAUAGCUGGUUCUCCCCGAAAGCUAUUUAGGUAGCGCCUCGUGAAUUCAUCUCCGGGGGUAGAGCACUGUUUCGGCAAGGGGGUCAUCCCGACUUACCAACCCGAUGCAAACUGCGAAUACCGGAGAAUGUUAUCACGGGAGACACACGGCGGGUGCUAACGUCCGUCGUGAAGAGGGAAACAACCCAGACCGCCAGCUAAGGUCCCAAAGUCAUGGUUAAGUGGGAAACGAUGUGGGAAGGCCCAGACAGCCAGGAUGUUGGCUUAGAAGCAGCCAUCAUUUAAAGAAAGCGUAAUAGCUCACUGGUCGAGUCGGCCUGCGCGGAAGAUGUAACGGGGCUAAACCAUGCAC